rnacentral:misc_RNA from 1 species
ACUAAUAUUUCCUUUCCUUUGAGAUAUCUAAUUGUAGAAAAGUUUUGGAGUCAAAAUCAUGACAUCAACUAAAAUUAAGCUUCACUGCAACCUGAUCAAAGACGUUGUGUUUUAUUGAACAACAGAACUAGCGUUUAUAGACACAGCAACAUCAAACAGGAAAUGCCAGUUAAUCAGUUAACCAAUUUUGUUGGUCGUGUUAAUUGGUUUUUACAUAUAUUAUUUCACAAUCAUUUCCUCCUCCAAGCUUUGCCUUUUGUGAUUUUCUGCACUUGCUUUCUUUAACCUUUAGCAUAUCACAAGCCAUUUUGUUGUGUACUUUGAGGGCUCUGAUGUAUACCUAGAAAUCUUGUUCCAUUUCAGAAGUUUUCUUUUUGUUAUUUUCUUUGGUACCAUUAUUUUAUGUUUAAAUUCUUGGAUAGCAAAAUGCAAUUGUGGGCUCAAUUCAUGAGCCAGCUAUUUUAUGUGAAAAUGCUGUGAACUAUAACUGCUGGUAACCAACUGUUGUUUUUUUUUCACU